GGGUCAGUAGGUUGGUCGUGCCACCGGUACGUACUGGUCUCACUGAUUCCUCCUUCCUGAAGAACCGUAAUGCCAUUAAUUUGGUGUUGCGGGGAAACAGGACUGUUACUUUGAAAAAAUUAGAGUUUUUAAAGCAAGCUAACGCUUGAAUACAUUAGCAUGGAAUAAUGAAAUAGGACGAUCGAUCCUAUUUUGUUGGUUUCUAGGAUUGACGUA
rnacentral:rRNA from 1 species